rnacentral:rRNA from 1 species
AGUGAACGCUGGCGGUAGGCCUAACACAUGCAAGUCGAACGGCAGCACAGUAAGAGCUUGCUCUUACGGGUGGCGAGUGGCGGACGUGUGAGGAAUACAUCGUAAUCUACUUUUUCGUGGGGGAUAACGUAGGGAAACUUACGCUAAUACCGCAUACGACCUACGGGUGAAAGCAGGGGAUCUUCGGACCUUGCGCGAUUGAAUGAGCGGAUGUCGGAUUAGCUAGUUGGCGGGGUAAAGGCCCACCAAGGGGACGAUCCGUAGCUGGUCUGAGAGGAUGAUCGGCCACACUGGAACUGAGACACGGUCCAGACUCCUACGGGAGGCAGCAGUGGGGAAUAUUGGACAAUGGGCGCAAGCCUGAUCCAGCCAUACCGCGUGGGUGAAGAAGGCCUUCGGGUUGUAAAGCCCUUUUGUUGGGAAAGAAAAGCAGCAGGUUAAUACCCCGCUGUUCUGACGGUACCCAAAGAAUAAGCACCGGCUAACUUCGUG